rnacentral:rRNA from 1 species
GACGAACGCUGGCGGCGUGCUUAACACAUGCAAGUCGAACGGAAAGGCCCUGCUUUUGUGGGGUGCUCGAGUGGCGAACGGGUGAGUAACACGUGAGUAACCUGCCCUUGACUUUGGGAUAACUUCAGGAAACUGGGGCUAAUACCGGAUAGGAGCUCCUGCUGCAUGGUGGGGGUUGGAAAGUUUCGGCGGUCGGGGAUGGACUCGCGGCUUAUCAGCUUGUUGGUGGGGUAGUGGCUUACCAAGGCUUUGACGGGUAGCCGGCCUGAGAGGGUGACCGGCCACAUGGGGACUGAGAUACGGCACAGACUCCUACGGGAGGCAGCAGUGGGGAAUAUUGCACAAGGGGCGGAAGCCUGAUGCAGCAACGCCGCGUGCGGGAUAACGGCCUUCGGGUUGUAAACCGCUUUCGCCUGUGACGAAGCGUGAGUGACGGUAAUGGGUAAAGAAGCACCGGCUAACUACGUG